GGGUGAUACUAUUUUUGGCUUGGGGUCGCCUGAGCCCCGAGAUCUGAGCCUCUAGUCUAUCCUCUUUGCUUGGCUCUACAAGAGUGAGAGGAAAGCCAUUAGAAUUAGAAGAAGAAGAAGAAUUCCGUGAAAGAUCUGCCUUACAUCUGCUGGAGUGACCAAAAUUCACAUUCCGAAAAGAUAAAAUUGAUUUAAAGCGUGAAAAUCUGUCUUUGAAUUUAGUGAGAGCUGAACUUUGAGUAAAAAAUGGUGAAAUUAACACCGGAUCUGAUCCAGCAGUCGAUGCAGUACAUAAAUCCCGUCAGGGAUCGGGAGUUGGAUCUUAGAGGUUAUAAAAUUCCAACAAUCGAGAAUUUAGGAGCAACACUGGAUCAAUUCGAUACGAUUGACUUCUCCGACAACGACAUUCGUAAGCUGGAUGGAUUCCCUCUCCUAAAACGUAUAAAAACUCUCUUCUUCAACAACAAUCGAAUCGUUAGAAUCUCAGAGGGUCUGGAGCAAUGCAUUCCCAACCUGGAGACCCUGAUGCUAACAGGAAACAUGCUGCAGGAGCUGGGAGAUCUGGACCCCCUCAUUCCCUUGAAGAAUCUUCAAAACCUCUGCCUCCUGCAGAAUCCAGUCUCAGCUAAACCUCAGUACAGACAGUACCUGAUUUACAGACUUCCACAAUUGCGUCUCCUAGAUUUCAGGAAGAUAAAGCAGAAGGAACGAGAGGCUGCUAUUGAGUAUUUCAGGAGUAAGAGUGGAAAAGACAUGGCAAGAGAGAUCGCCAAGAAGGCGAAGAUGCAAGCGUUGAUGGGAAUGCCGGAAAAACCGACAAUGAGCAGUGAAGAGAGAAACAAAAUCGAAAAGGCGAUCAAUAGUGCCUCAAGCUUAGAGGAAGUCAAGAGACUCAGUAAACUGUUGCAAUCAGGGCAACUUCCGGGGCAAGAGCAGCAUCAAAAUGGAGGAAAUGCCAUGGAGGAAGAUGAUGAGUAACCGUAAGAAUCCAAUAAGGCUUUUUUUAUAAUUAAAAUAUGAAAACAUAAUACCUCGUAUAGAACUCUUCGAAGGGGAUCGCAGCGAUGAUCUAUAAUAUAAUUUGAAGAAAUACAUGAUUAAUGAUAAAUGAAGUAAUAAGUCGUUUUAUAAUGAGAGUAUUCUGGUUUUUCGAGUUUCGAAAAAUCAUAUGAAAUAAAGUUUUUCUGUACAUAG